GAGUUUGAUCUUGGCUCAGGACGAACGCUGGCGGCGUGCUUAACACAUGCAAGUCGAACGGAAAGGCCCUGCUUUUGUGGGGUGCUCGAGUGGCGAACGGGUGAGUAACACGUGAGUAACCUGCCCUUGACUUUGGAUAACUUCAGGAAACUGGGGCUAAUACCGGAUAGGAGCUCCUGCUGCAUGGUGGGGGUUGGAAAGUUUCGGCGGUUGGGGAUGGACUCGCGGCUUAUCAGCUUGUUGGUGGGGUAGUGGCUUACCAAGGCUUUGACGGGUAGCCGGCCUGAGAGGGUGGCCGGCCACAUUGGGACUGAGAUACGGCCCAGACUCCUACGGGAGGCAGCAGUGGGGAAUAUUGCACAAUGGGCGGAAGCCUGAUGCAGCAACGCCGCGUGCGGGAUGACGGCCUCGG
rnacentral:rRNA from 1 species